ACUUAUUCAUAUCAAGGUUCAAGGAUUAAAUAACAGAGGUCCACGCAACAGGAAAACCCAUGAGAAAAACACCUGAAAUCCAGCAUCUGAUGUCAGAAGCAGUCACCUUGCUCUGUGUAAUGGUCAUCUUCUACAUAUGACAACCAUCAACCGCAGCUCAGUUAUCAACGAGAUACCUUUCAAAUCUUCAGCUACCCUGUUAAGGUCUUGCAGAUCCAUGGCUGUGGUUUCUUUGAUUAAAUCCACUCAUCCACAAUCUCCCAUCACUUCCAGCCAGCAUAGACCAUGAUCACUGAAAAUUUCUACAAGAUGCAGAGCCAACCUUAAGAAAUGGGGCUACAAAGUGGAAUCCACGACAUGCGAGUGUGGAGAAGAGCAAACCACAGGCCACCUACUACAAUGCAACCUGGGCCCUGCCACAUGCACAAUGGAGGACCUGCUUGCAGCAACACCAGAGGCACUCCAAGUGGCCAGCUACUGGUCAAAGGACAUUUAAUAGAAUACCAAGUCUGCAAACUUUGUGGUUUGUUUGUUU